GACGAACGCUGGCGGCGUGCUUAACACAUGCAAGUCGAACGGAAAGGCCCUGCUUUUGUGGGGUGCUCGAGUGGCGAACGGGUGAGUAACACGUGAGUAACCUGCCCUUAACUUUGGGAUAACUUCAGGAAACUGGGGCUAAUACUGGAUAGGAGCUCCUGCUGCAUGGUGGGGGUUGGAAAGUUUCGGCGGUUGGGGAUGGACUCGCGGCUUAUCAGCUUGUUGGUGGGGUAGUGGCUUACCAAGGCUUUGACGGGUAGCCGGCCUGAGAGGGUGACCGGCCACAUUGGGACUGAGAUACGGCCCAGACUCCUACGGGAGGCAGCAGUGGGGAAUAUUGCACAAUGGGCGGAAGCCUGAUGCAGCAACGCCGCGUGCGGGAUGACGGCCUUCGGGUUGUAAACCGCUUUCGCCUGUGACGAAGCGUGAGUGACGGUAAUGGGUAAAGAAGCACCGGCUAACUACGUG
rnacentral:rRNA from 1 species